AGGGGUUGGGGACGCUAGUGAUGCCCCCCCAGUUUGGGUAUAGGGCAGUGUGUUCUUAAAGGGGAAGUGCCUCGAUUGCUGCGCCCCACAGCAGUGCAGCCAAACGCCUCCAGGGGGCGACACAGCCCCUAAUUAGGAGUCUAAUAAUUAAGUAGGAUCCCUAAAAACGUGUGAAGUUUAUCAGUAAAGGGGUUGGGGACGCUAAUAAUGCCCCCCCAUUUGGGGAUAGGGCUGUGUGCUCUUAAAGGGGAAGCGCUCCAAUUGCUGCCCCCCACAGCACUGCAGCCAAACGCCUCCAGGGGGCGACGCAGCCCCUAAUUAGGGCUCUAAUAAUUAAGUAGCAUCCAUGAUA
ensembl:lncRNA